rnacentral:rRNA from 1 species
UAACAUCUGGAGACAGGUGCUAAUACCGCAUAACAACAAACCACAUGGUUUCGUUUCAAAGAUGGUUUCGGCUAUCACUUCAGGAUGGGCCCGCGGGUGCAUUAGCUAGUUGGUAAGGUAACGGCUUACCAAGGCAAUGAUGCAUAGCCGAGUUGAGAGACUGAUCGGCCACAAUGGAACUGAGACACGGUCCAUACUCCUACGGGAGGCAGCAGCG